rnacentral:piRNA from 1 species
UGGGGCUUAUUUCAUCCCUACAGCUUUGACC